UAGCUAAUACCGCAUAACGUCGCAAGACCAAAAAGGGGGACUUCGGGCCUCUUGCCAUCGGAUGUGCCCAGAUGGGAUUAGCUAGUAGGUGGGGUAACGGCUCACCUAGGCGACGAUCCCUAGCUGGUCUGAGAGGAUGACCAGCCACACUGGAACUGAGACACGGUCCAGACUCCUACGGGAGGCAGCAGUGGGGAAUAUUGCACAAUGGGCGCAAGCCUGAUGCAGCCAUGCCGCGUGUAUGAAGAAGGCCUUCGGGUUGUAAAGUACUUUCAGCGGGGAGGAAGGGAGUAAAGUUAAUACCUUUGCUCAUUGACGUUACCCGCAGAAGAAGCACCGGCUAACUCCGUGCCUGCAGCCGCGGUAAUACGGAGGGUGCAAGCGUUAAUCGGAAUUACUGGGCGUAAAGCGCACGCAGGCGGUUUGUUAAGUCAGAUGUGAAAUCCCCGGGCUCAACCUGGGAACUGCAUCUGAUACUGGCAAGCUUGAGUCUCGUAGAGGGGGAUAGAAUUCCAGGUGUAGCGGUGAAAUGCGUAGAGAUCUGGAGGAAUACCGGUGGCGAAGGCGGCCCCCUGGACGAAG
rnacentral:rRNA from 1 species